rnacentral:sRNA from 1 species
AUGCCCAGAUUUUCUAGCAUUUUCUUGCCCUUUCUUGUCAACCAAACACAAAAACACAAACACAAAUUGAUUUCCAACAAGAACAAGAACAAAAACAUAAACACCAACCCAGUAACAGAUCUUCCUUGUCAACCAAACACAAAAGCAACAAACACAAACCCAACAACUGACGACGAUGAGGACGAAGAUGUGGAGAAGCUUCUAAAGCCAUUCACAAAGGACCAUCUCAUGGCUCUGAUCAAGAAGGGAGUGAGCAAGCACCCGGACUUGAUUGAAAUCGUGUGUGAGCUUGCCGAUGCGAACCCCACCCACCGCAAGAUCUUCAUCCACGGCCUCGACUGGGACACCACAGCCAAAACCCUCACCUCCGUCUUCUGCAAGUAUGGUGAGAUCGAGGAUUGCAAGGCGGCCACCGACCGCGUCUCUAGUAAGUCCAAAGGCUACACAUUUAUUCUCUUCAAGCACCGGAGUGGUGCCCGGAAGGCUCUCAAGCAACCCCAGAAGCAGAUCGGCAAUCGCACCACCCCAUGGCCGAGACCCAUGGCCACACCCAUCAGUUGUUGAUAUUUGGACAUAAACACAAGAUCACAAAUUCAAAAUUUGAAAAGAAACAAGCACCGAGAGAGAGAAAGAAAGAGUCAUGGAUCUGAAAGAAAGAAGAAAAACAAAGAUACAAACACAAAUAGAGCAAGUAAUGGAUUUGGAAAGACGAAGAAAAAGAAGUACAAAAUGAGAGUGAAUGAGAGUUGGCCAUGGCUAGGAUAGCUCUAUUUUUGUUGGGGUUGAAAAUGAGGGCUUUGAGAUUUAUGAUUUCAUUUUUGAGCUGAAUUUUUUGGGUUUUUUGUAUGUUUGUUUCUCAAGAAAAUUUCUGGGGAUGAACCAAGGAACGAACAUGUUCUUUAGAAAAAAAUAAUGAAAGAAAUAAAUUUUUUUAAUUUAAUUCUCUUAUUUUAUUUUAAAUGAAUUUAGAAAAAAACAUGAAAAUGUCUUUUUUUUAUUAUUAUUUUAUGCUGACUUGGCAUUUGUUAAAUAACAAAUAAUUUUUUUAUUAUUAUUUUAUUUGCCAUGUCAGCAUUUACUGUGUCAACAAUACACUCUGUUUGCCACAUCAGAUAUUUUCGGCUAUUGACUGACGGAAAGGACCAAAAUAACAUGCGCUAAUUAAUUUAGGAACUAAAAGUGGUGCAAUUAAAAUGUAGGAACCAAAAUAGAAAAAAGUCAAAAUAUAGGGACUAAAAGAGCAUUUACAGCUUAUUAUAAUUACUGCUAAGUUUUAUUGGUGAUAAAAAUGUAAGUUGUGACAUGGUCUUAAUGGUUAUUACUAAUUAACAAAUUUUACAUGUAGGGUAAGAAAGAAAUGACUUGAUUAUCAGAAGAAAAAAAUUGAUGGAGGCAAAUGUAACGGAAUUCUCUCCCAAAAUUUGUUAUAAUAUCUUUUUAAUAUGAUUUUUUUCAAUUAUAUUAUUUUGAAGCUUUUUUUUUUUUUUUGAAAUAGCUACAAUAUUUUGCUAACCCUGAGUUCAAACAUUUUCUCUUCUAAACUUUUAAGCACUUUGAACAUAAGAAGAUGUCAAUUCAGCUACCAGGUCUUUGGCUGUUUUGAAGUUAUUUAAAUAUGUAGUAUUUUCUUGAAAAUCGUGUAUUAAAAAACAUUAUUGUAUUUCCAAAACAUAAUGUUCUGCAACUGUGGAGAACACUAGCCAAAUAUAUUUCCCAGAAUGGAUCUACAAUUUGUUAGAGCAAAAGGAAGAACAACGAGUCUAUGUUGAGGAUAAUGGAGAUGCUAAAAUUGCAAAGAAUCUCGCAAUUGUGGGACUCUGGUGCAUCCAGUGGCACCCAAUGGAUCAUCCAUCUAUGAAAGUUGUGGUACAAAUGUUGGAGGGAGAAGGAGAUAAGUUAACCAUGCCCCCUAAUCCAUUUGCAUCUACAAACCCCACAAGAAUCAAUGUAAGUAUGCCUGCAAGGCGUCUAAACCAGGAUUUAGAAGUCAUCCUAGAAUCAGAGUAA